AUGGCGCGCGUGGAGAAGGUCGCCGGCGGCGAAGGGCAGGUGGAGGUGGUGGUCGGGGUGGACGGCAAGGGGGCGAUAGAGUGCCGGAUAUGCCAGGAGGAGGGGGAGGAGGCCGCCAUGGACUCCCCCUGCGCCUGCACUGGCACGCUCAAGUUCGCGCACAGGAAGUGCAUACAGAGGUGGUGCGACAAGAAGGGGAACAUCACAUGUGAAAUCUGCAACCAGGUUUACUCUCCGAACUAUGUUCUCCCUCCAACCAAGUGCUGUUCAGAUGAAAUGGGCAUGGAUCUUAGGCAAAGCUGGGUUGGACGGAUUGAUCCCCAUGAUUCCCAUUUCCUGGCGAUCGCCAUCGCGGAGCAGCAGCUGCUGAACGCUGAAUUCGAUGACUGCAUGACCUCAAAUUCGAGUGGCGCCACAUGCUGCCGGUCUAUUGCUCUAAUUUUGAUGUUCCUUCUGCUCGUGCGCCAUGUAACCGUGAUCGUGCGAGAUGCUAGCAUGCUACAAGAUGCGACGGUUCUGUUCAGCGUGAGUCCAUAUGACCUACUUUGCCAUCUCAAUGUUCACCUCUAUGCGAUCUCGGCAUUAUGGUUUCACACUAAACUAACUGAAUAUUUUCCCUCAUUUCAGGCAAUUCUUCAGUUCGUGGGAUUCUUUCUUCCGUGUUAUGUCAUAGCGCGCUUCUGCUAUGCUUUUCAACACCGGAGGCGAAGACAGGUAUUCCCCGCUUCCCCACCCGAACCCGGAGCCAUACUAAACUGA
rnacentral:rRNA from 1 species